AUCCAAGAGGGGGAGCUGUUCUCUCCAGAAGGUGAACUGGCUGAAGGUGUCACUGCAGGGGAAAUCACAAGAACCUCUGCGCUUCAGGAGCGGAAAAACAUGAUCCACCACCUCACCUAGACGCACGUACCUGCACAGGACAUGAUGAACCGCCUGAGACUAAAUCCUGCAAACACAAAGGACUCACCUAUAGGGACUUCACAUAAAGUCACAAACCCUUGAAACAAAGCCCAUGGUGAUGAGGUGUACAUGUUUGAGUACCGGUUUAGAGCUGUUUGUUCUUCCUCGCCAUGAAAACCACCAUCUUCCUUGAUUUCUGGGCAUUUUCUCCUUCAUAAGUCUCUCUAUGGUGGCCUGUGAGGGACAUGCGCACAGGCGUAAUGCUCAACAACUGAAAAACUCUCAGACACCAAAGCCACUAAGAAUAAAACAAAUGCUGGGCUCUCAUGCAGGGAAAAGGAUUGAUAGAAACUAGUGCAACGAACUGAAGAAGUAAAGAAACGAGUCCUCCACACAGAGAGAUGGCCAUAGAGGGAAUGUCUUCACUGUCCACGCCGCUGUCGGCUCCCGAGCUACACAUGGACUGAGGAGACACAGUCUCACACCGGACGCUUUUCUCAUCACAACACUCUGAACCACUGAGAAAACACAAAAUAUCCUCUUUAAAUGUUGCUGAUCUAAGCCAUUCUAGGAUGUUCGACCCUAUGAAGCCUGCUGUAUCAUAUUCGAUAUGCAAACUUCUAAGCCCUCUAAAUGAUCAACGUGAUCAAAACUUUACUGCCUUCUGUUGUCUGAUUGAUAGUUUAUACUUUUUAGCAAGUUUGCUCUAAAUUCUUUACUGAUGUACGAAUAACUCUUAUAUAUUUAGCAAUAUUUCAAAAUAUUCACUUAUUGGACUGAAGCAAAAUCUUACUGAUUUACAUUACAUACUAUAAAAAUGUAAUCUUAAUAUUUGAUCAUGUAAGUAUCAGCAUCUGCACCAAGCAAAUUUUUCCUCAGUGGUGCUCAGAAUAUAGCCUAAUUUAUUUAAUUUACUCCUCAAGUAUGAGCUUCAUAUUCUUACUAUAUCAUACUAUG